rnacentral:rRNA from 1 species
AGCGAACGCUGGCGGCAGGCCUAACACAUGCAAGUCGAACGCCUGUAGCAAUACAGGAGUGGCAGACGGGUGAGUAACACGUGGGAACGUGCCCUUCGGUUCGGAAUAACUCGGGGAAACUUGGGCUAAUACAGGAUACGUCCGCGAGGAGAAAGAUUCAUCGCCGAAGGAUCGGCCCGCGUCCGAUUAGCUAGUUGGUGGGGUAAUGGCUCACCAAGGCGACGAUCGGUAGCUGGUCUGAGAGGAUGAUCAGCCACACUGGGACUGAGACACGGCCCAGACUCCUACGGGAGGCAGCAGUGGGGAAUAUUGGACAAUGGGCGCAAGCCUGAUCCAGCCAUGCCGCGUGGGUGAUGAAGGCCCUAGGGUUAUAAACCGCUUUCAGCGGGGAACACCUAACGAGGGUACCCGCAGAAGAAGCCCCGGCUAAAUACGUGCCAGCCGCCGCAGUAACAC